rnacentral:misc_RNA from 1 species
GAUCACCCGCUGGCCCCCCCAUGGAAAUUCGAGACAGGAUUGCUCCUCCGGCGACUCCGCCGACGGUUCCAAACCGUCGCGGAUAAGAAGACUCGGUCGACGGCUUCGCCUGCACAGUCGCCGUAGUUGUCAAACAGCUGCUUCACAUUCUCAAACUUCUAAGAUCCUUAAGGAGGAAGACUUUGCUGGCAUCGCUCUCAUCCAGAUCAUUAGUGCUGAAAUGAAAUUUAAGGACAAAUGGCUAGCUUGUAUUACCCUUGGUGAACAAACUUUUCGCACUCAUGUGUCUGAUCAAACUGACAAGCCGACCUGGAACUCAGAAAAGAAGCUUCUUUUGGAAAAACACGGAGCACAUCUUGCAAGAAUAUCUGUUUUUGAGACCAAUAGACUUUCGAGGAACAAUCUGAUCGGUUACUGUGAGGUUGAUCUACUUGAAUUUCUCUCUCAGGAUUGCAGUUCUGAUACUGAGGUUUUUGACUUGUUAGACCCAUCAUCUGCCUCCACAGUUGUUGGCCGUAUAUCUAUUUCGUGUUGCAUUGAGGAUCCCGUUGAGACAGAGAAAACCUUUGUUAGGCGCAUCUUAUCUAUAGUGGACUGUAAUGAAGACGGAGAGCUUUCAUUGGACGAGUUCUCUGAUUUGAUUGAUGCGUUUGGAAAUAAACUGGCAGCUGAGAAGAAAGAGGAGAUAUUCAAACAAGCUGACAGAAACGGGGAUGGUGUUGUUAGCUUGGAUGAGUUAGCCACACUUCUGGCUAUACAAAAUGAAAAGGAACCAAUAAUUAAUUGCUGUCCUGUUUGUGGCGAAGUUCUUGAAGUUUCGGAUGGGUUGAAUAACAUGAUUCAUAUGACCUUGUGUUUUGAUGAGGGGACUGGGAAUCAGGUUAUGACAGGAGGAUUCUUGACUGAUAAGGAGGCUUCAAGUGGAUGGAUGUUCAAACUGAGUGAAUGGGCCCAUUUUUCAACUUUUGAUAUCGGUUUAAGGUCUGGUUCAAGUGCUUCACAUAUCUUGGUUUAUGACCGCCGAAAGAAAAGGCUAGUGGAAGAAAUAAUUGAUCGGAAGAUAGUCUUGUCAAUGAGGGCUAUCUAUCAGUCUAAAUUUGGCCUUGGCCUUAUGGAUAAUGGUGCAAAAGAAAUCUUGCGGAGCCUCUCUGAAAAACAGGGCAAGAAAAUGGAUACUGCUGAAUCUGCCAAGGAAAUACCUAACUUCAUUGAAUUUUUUAAGGAUCAAAUAAAUAUGGAUGAAGUCAAGUAUCCAUUGGAGCAAUUUAAGACAUUCAACGAAUUUUUCAUAAGAGAGUUGAAGCCUGGUGCAAGACCUAUUGCUUUUGUAGAACGUGAUGAUAUUGCAGUAUGUGCUGCUGAUUGCCGUCUGAUGGCAUUCAACAGUGUUGCUGAUAGUAUAAGAUGUUGGAUCAAGGGUCGAAAGUUUUCCAUCCAAGGUCUGCUGAAUGAAACGUGUUCUAGUGAAUUUGUCAAUGGAUCUCUAGUGAUAUUUCGCUUGGCACCACAGGACUAUCAUCGUUUCCACUUUCCUGUAUCUGGAACUAUUGAGAAAUUUCUUGAGCUACCUGGUUGCCUGUAUACGGUGAAUCCUAUUGCUGUGAAUAGCAAAUACUGCAAUGUCUUCACCGAGAAUAA